GAUGAACGCUGGCGGCGUGCCUAAUACAUGCAAGUCGAGCGAACAGAUAAGGAGCUUGCUCCUUUGACGUUAGCGGCGGACGGGUGAGUAACACGUGGGUAACCUACCUAUAAGACUGGGAUAACUUCGGGAAACCGGAGCUAAUACCGGAUAAUAUUUCGAACCGCAUGGUUCGAUAGUGAAAGAUGGUUUUGCUAUCACUUAUAGAUGGACCCGCGCCGUAUUAGCUAGUUGGUAAGGUAACGGCUUACCAAGGCGACGAUACGUAGCCGACCUGAGAGGGUGAUCGGCCACACUGGAACUGAGACACGGUCCAGACUCCUACGGGAGGCAGCAGUAGGGAAUCUUCCGCAAAGGGCGAAAGCCUGACGGAGCAACGCCGCGUGAGUGAUGAAGGUCUUCGGAUCGUAAAACUCUGUUAUUAGGGAAGAACAGACGUGUAAGUAACUGUGCACGUCUUGACGGUACCUAAUCAGAAAGCCACGGCUAACUACGUG
rnacentral:rRNA from 1 species